GACGAACGCUGGCGGCGUGCUUAACACAUGCAAGUCGAGCGGACUACUUCGGUGGUCAGCGGCGAACGGGUGAGUAACACGUGGGCAACCUGCCCUCAGCUUUGGGAUAACUCCGGGAAACCGGGGCUAAUACCGGAUACGACUUCUCAUCGCAUGGGUGGGGGGUGGAAAGGGUUUCCGGCUGGGGAUGGGCCCGCGGCCUAUCAUGCUUGUUGGUGGGGUGAUGGCUUACCAAGGCGGUGACGGGUAGCCGGCCUGAGAGGGCGACCGGCCACACUGGGACUGAGACACGGCCCAGACUCCUACGGGAGGCAGCAGUGGGGAAUAUUGCGCAAUGGGCGGAAGCCUGACGCAGCGACGCCGCGUGGGGGAUGAAGGCC
rnacentral:rRNA from 1 species